CAUAUUUUUCCUCUCAAGCAAGAUAUAAUAUGGAUUUGUUCAUUACUUGGGAAAAUGAUGCUAAUCACCUCGUCGACGACAUCGAGUGGAUACAAAUUCAUGGCACGUGCUGGGCGUAUUCUCUUAGGCGGCACAUGAAUGCGGCAUGUAGAAUUGCGAACUUAAUUGAUGCAGAAUCCCUCUCUCUGGCCUACUUGGUCAACUACAUGAGAAUGACUUCAGGGCUUUCAGACACCUUGGGUCUUUCUUCCUUUGAUCCGGUUAGGCCCUUCCUGAUGUUGGAGGGUAUGGUCCUGGAUGAUGAUUAUCGAAUGUUGUUUGCUCAAUUUAUGAGGAUCCCGGAACUCCCACUUCCGAGGGGAAUUCGUCGUUUCGUAGUUACGGACAUGAUAAUUCAUUCUCUAGAUCACUAU